rnacentral:rRNA from 1 species
GACGAACGCUGGCGGCGUGCUUAACACAUGCAAGUCGAACGGAAAGGCCCUGCUUUUGUGGGGUGCGCGAGUGGCGAACGGGUGAGUAACCCGUGAGUAACCUGCCCUUGACUUUGGGAUAACUUCAGGAAACUGGGGCUAAUACCGGAUAGGAGCUCCUGCUGCAUGGUGGGGGUUGGAAGGUUUCGGCGGUUGGGGAUGGACUCGCGGCUUAUCGGCUUGUUGGUGGGGUAGUGGCUUACCAAGGCUUGGACGGGUAGCCGGCCUGAGAGGGUGAGCGGCCUCAGCGGGACUGAGAUUGGGACCAGACCCCUACGGGAGCCAGCAGUGGGGAUGAUGGAACAAGGGGCGGAAGCCAGAUCCAGAACCGCCGCGGCCGGGAUGGCGGCCUUCGGGUUGUAAACCGCAUUCGCCUGUGACGAAGAGGGAGUGACGGUAAUGGGUAAAGAAGCCCCGGCUAACUACGUG